UUGGGACUUCAGGCUCCUGGAGGCCAGACGUAGCCACUGGGAAGUUAGCAUCUGUGAAGUUGUCCAUUGGGAAUUUCCAAGAGACCUACAUGGGCACCGGCAUCCAGGCCAAGCCAGGCAAGCUGGGCUGUGGUCCUAGGACCAGCCAAGCCUAGGGUGGCAGGGCUGAGCUGGGUAGGGCUAGGCUGGGAGAGAGAGGGCUGGGCUGAAAGAGAAGAGAAUUUUUUGCCUCCAGGCUCAUAAAUGCCUAUAUUGGGCAAGGCCUCUUGUUUCCUUGGGCUGUGACCAGGAGUCUCUCCAAAUCUGCCAGCCUGGCAUAAAUUCUCUCCCUCUGCCCAGAAAGGGACUGCAGCCUUCUAGAGGAGCCCUCUCAGUCCUCAAGUUGAUGAGGUAUGGGCAUCGGUGCCUCCAGCCUUACCUCCUGAGCAGAUGGAGAAAUGUAAGCAAACUCCAAGUAAAAGGGCUGGCUCUUCAUUCCCCUUGCUGUACCAGGACAGGACCCACAGGGCUGAGGACAACUGCUUCUGGAAAACACGGCUCCCAUGAGGCACUGAUCCAUGCCGUCACUGUGUCCCCCAGGGUGGUAGCUAAGCCCUGGCACAUGGUCCCCACAGCCCCCAGGCCAACAAACAGUCAUUAUGUCAUUACAUAAAUAAAUUACGUACUUAGGAUUUGGUGUGUGAGCACCAGUUAUUAUUACUGCUGCGUAACUAUACAGUUAACCUGAAGGGGAAGGCAGGCAGGAGGCCUGGGGGUGAUCCCCAACCCUGGGAAAGUUCUGCAGGCUCCCACCUCGGGGGGAUUGUGGCUCUGGGUUACACAAGAUGAAGUGCUGGAGUCUCCCAGGUAUCUCGAUGAAGAUGAGACAGCUUAGCCCAAGGCCGUCUCCUGGAAGAGGCUGGCAAGGCCUGAUGCCGGGGGCUGUCUGCCAGCCCAGUCCAUGCCCACAGCCUAACAGAUGGGCUCGCAGACAGCCCAGUUCCGCCAGGCCAAGAGGCCAUACAGGAAAGGGCUGAGGGAGAGCAUGAGGUCCCAAGGGGAAGGGCCUGUGACCCAAGAUUAUCUCUUCCCCAUCUUCAGGCCUGGGGACCACUCCCUCAGCUGCUCCCAGCCAUCUCCCCUCUUGCUGGCAAGCUUGGAACCUCAGGAAGCUCAGAUGGGGAUCUCUGGAGGUCAUCUAGUCCAACCUCGAACUUCCCAGAAAAGGAGGCUGGCCAGAGAGGGAAAGGGACUUGCCCAAGGGUCAAGGCUGCGGGACAUGGCCGCAGUGCCCCAGCCUACCUCCUGCCUGCCUCUUUUCAACAUCCCUCCUUUGUCUUCUCCCACUCCUGCCUCCUGCUCCUCCCUCAUCAUUGGGCUGCUCUACUUCCUCCCUUCCUCUCUCUCUCCUGCUUCCUGCCCUGCCCAGGCCUGCCUGUUGCCUCACCUCUCCCCUCCUUUACUCUCCCAUUGCUGCCUGGGCUUUCUUCUCCCGGCCCCUGGAGCUACAGGAGGCUCCCCACUCUUUGGCCCAUGCUUUCUGUUCUUUCCUGGUCCCUCCCCGGGCUCAUCCCGGGAUAGGCUAGCCUCUUCCCUUCCACCUCCUUCUCUCUUCUAAGAGGGUUCAAAAUGAAGGAAAAAGAGACCAAACUCUCAAGCCAGGAGCAGGAAUUCCCUUCUGGGUUUGGGGUGGGGCUGGGUGAGCCGAAGCACGAGGAGCCUCCUAAAUGGUGAGAAAGAAGACAGAGGGGCCCACCAGCAGCAGCCCCCUCCCCCCACCCUCCACCCCUCCUACCCCUGCAACCUGGGCUCUGGACCAGCUGACCUGUGUCCCCUGGGAACAAAAGGAAAGGGGAUGGAGGGCAUCCAUCAAAAGGGCAUGUCAGGAAAGUGUGGCUCAUUGCCUUAGCAGUGCUGGCAUGGCUUCUGAGCCUAAGGAGCUAACCCAGGCCUGGCCUUGGCAUUUCUGGAAGUCCAGAAAUGACUUCCUUAUCCACUUAGUGAAAUCCCAAUGGGAAAGUCCUGUGGGCACCCCCUUCUUUUUUUUUUUUUUUUUAAAGGAGAAAUCAAGUCUUGUUCAGACCAUCACAGUUGAGGGGGGACUAGUUUGGAGCCCAGGUGGGUUGACUGAUUUCCAGCUCUCUGCUGGCCUAAGGCUCAGUGAAGUUCAUACACCAAGGUGUGCAUGUAAGUGUACAUGCUGAGCAGGUAGGCACAGUUCUGAAGGGAACAUUCAGGGUGUACAGGUCUGUAUUUUGGCUCCAAAGGUAUUUGCAUCUUGCAAUCAAAGGCUUUUCUCCAAGGAUCUUGAGCAGCCCCAUUCUCUCACCCAGAUUCUUGUGGCCUUCCCGGGCUGGUGGACAAAGGGAUCCAGGGGCACUUCUCACUGUGUAGCCUAAGUCCCUAUAUGGAAAGUGAUCUGUUCGGGUUAACCUCAUUUCAGGGGCAAAACUGCAUCCAAGCCCAGAUGUCUCAGCAUUUAACCCAGCCCUUCUGGUCCAGACCAUGGAGCCCCUUUCUUUUGGGCUGCCCUGUUCUCUGCAAGCUGUGUGAGGGAGAUAGAGGCAGGAGUGAACUUGCGUGAAGGAGAAGAAAUCCAUCAGGGAUUUCUGAAGCUACAGGGAUGCUGAAGCUAUGGCCAGGGUGCAGCUUCAGCCAGAGGUGCUCUCCAGGUCUGGUGAGCUGGGACUGGCCCUCACUCCUUGCUCCCUGGGGCAUGCCUGGCUCCAGCCAGGGUCCUGCUGAGUCCUAGUUGUGUCCUAGAGUCCCUGGCGGGGUGGGCUUCCCAGGCCUUGCAUAAUCCCCCAGGGAGCAGGGUUUUCUCUGGUCCUGCAGGGAGUGGCAUAUUGAUCUAUUUCCUCCUCUGGCAGUGGGGAAUGACGAAUGACGAAAGAGAGGAGACUUGUGACUUGGAGACACUGAGGUGGGGUGGCUGAGGGUGAUGGUAUCCUCAUCCUCAAGGGCUUUUGACUCCUGGGCAAACAUACUUGGUUCUGGGAUACCUCAGGGAUGACUUUUGCUGGGGCAAGAUGUGGUCUUUAAAAGGACUGCUUCGGGCUUUCCCCAGCUUGACUUGCUUCUGGGGGAUUCCCACUGGUCAGGGAGUCGAAAGGGAGGAGGCAAAGGCCAGCUUGGUUCCAAGACCCCUUUUCAGGAAAACUGAUCCUCUCGGAGCCCUAAAGUCUCAGAUGGGGGUAAGAGUAGUGUGGUUUUCUUUCCUCUUUUCACUCAAAGGCAUUUUUGCACAUGACUCAAACAAGUCUAAACUUUCCUAAACUUCAAAGUUUGCCCAUGGCACAGCCUCAAAGUGGAGGAGAAAAUGUUAGAAAGGAAAAAAAAAAA
rnacentral:lncRNA from 1 species